UGGGGAAUAUUGGACAAUGGGCGAAAGCCUGAUCCAGCAACGCCGCGUGAGGGAUGACGGCCUUCGGGUUGUAAACCUCUUUCAGCAGGGACGAAGCGCAAGUGACGGUACCUGCAGAAGAAGCACCGGCCAACUACGUGCCAGCAGCCGCGGUAAUACGUAGGGUGCGAGCGUUGUCCGGAAUUAUUGGGCGUAAAGGGCUCGUAGGCGGUUUGUCGCGUCAGGAGUGAAAACUCGGGGCUUAACCCCGAGCCUGCUUCUGAUACGGGCAGACUAGAGGUAUGCAGGGGAGAACGGAAUUCCUGGUGUAGCGGUGAAAUGCGCAGAUAUCAGGAGGAACACCGGUGGCGAAGGCGGUUCUCUGGGCAUUACCUGACGCUGAGGAGCGAAAGUGUGGGGAGCGAACAGGAUUAGAUACCCUGGUAGUCCACACCGUAAACGUUGGGCGCUAGGUGUGGGACUCAUUCCACGAGUUCCGUGCCGCAGCUAACGCAUUAAGCCG
rnacentral:rRNA from 1 species